rnacentral:rRNA from 1 species
UACAGAGGUCCCAAGCGUUGUUCGGAUUCAUUGGGCGUAAAGGGUGCGUAGGCGGCGCGGUAAGUCGGGUGUGAAAUCUCGGGGCUUAACUCCGAAACUGCAUUCGAUACUGCCGUGCUUGAGGACUGGAGAGGAGACUGGAAUUUACGGUGUAGCGGUGAAAUGCGUAGAUAUCGUAGGGAAGACCAGUGGCGAAGGCGGGUCUCUGGACAGUUCCUGACACUGAGACACGAAGGCCAGGGGAGCAAACGGG